AUGAUUUCCUCCAGGGCUAUGGCUGAAAACAAUGCAAGGUUGAGACUCGGGCGACCCACCCUAACCGCGUGUGCUCAUCGCGAGAGGGCUCGUCAACAUGAGCAGGCUAGAGUCGUCCCCCUCUGCCUCACGAUAGGGAGGCGUAGACCUCUAGGAGUCGACUAUCCCAAGGGUCGGGAUCCUAGAGUCGUGUCCACCAUGAUGAGGAUACUCCAGUUGUACCGCAGGUCCCAGUUGCUGAGGAUGCUCCACUGGCAGACUCUUUUCCAAGAGGGUCCACAGACACUUCUUUACUGA